rnacentral:rRNA from 1 species
AAUUGACGGGGGCCCGCACAAGCGGUGGAGCAUGUGGUUUAAUUCGAAGCAACGCGAAGAACCUUACCAGGUCUUGACAUCCUUUGACCACUCUGGAGACAGAGCUUUCCCUUCGGGGACAAAGUGACAGGUGGUGCAUGGUUGUCGUCAGCUCGUGUCGUGAGAUGUUGGGUUAAGUCCCGCAACGAGCGCAACCCUUGAUUUUAGUUGCCAGCAUUUAGUUGGGCACUCUAAAGUGACUGCCGGUGCAAGCCGGAGGAAGGUGGGGAUGACGUCAAAUCAUCAUGCCCCUUAUGACCUGGGCUACACACGUGCUACAAUGGAUAGUACAAAGGGUCGCGAAGCCGCGAGGUGGAGCUAAUCCCAUAAAACUAUUCUCAGUUCGGAUUGUAGGCUGCAACUCGCCUACAUGAAGCCGGAAUCGCUAGUAAUCGUGGAUCAGCAUGCCACGGUGAAUACGUUCCCGGGCCUUGUACACACCGCCCGUCACACCACGAGAGUUUGUAACACCCGAAGUCGGUAGGGUAACCUUUAUGGAGCCAGCCGCCGAAGGUGGGACAGAUAAUUGGGGUGAAGUCGUAACAAGGUAGCCGUAUCGGAAGGUGCGGCUGGAUCACCUCCUUUCUAAGGAA